CUCUGGACAUCAAAGGUUCCUUUUGUCCCCUUCCGAGUGGCAGGGCAGCCAGGCCGCUGGCGAUGACUCAGGCCUGGCCCUGACGUCACCCACGCCGGGCCACUGGCCUCCCUCUGCAGCCAGGAAACUGGCUGGGGAGUGGCACUCGCAGCUGCAGCAAAUCUCAAAAUAGGGAGGCAACUGCCUCUCCUCCUCCUCCUCUCCAUCUCCUCACCGCACACCUUUCUUUUCUUCUUCUUUUUUUUUUUUUUUUUUUUUUUUUUUUAGCCUCAUAGAAGGUUUCGCUUGUAGAUCAACUUUCAAAAUGUAGGAAGUCAGAAUGAGUGACAUCAUCAGAAAAAUAUGUGGAGCUGAUCUCAACAAGAAGUGAAGAACCCAGAGCAAGAAAGCGGUUAUAACUCUUGAGCCCAGGGAGUUGGCAGCGUCUGGGUUUCAGAGGAGCCAGCAUCUCCGAGUUGUCUUGAAGUGAGACACUGCUAAACUACUCUUCUGGCUGUAAGAUCUGAAUGCUGUGACCACUAAUCUGUUGAACCAAGACUCUGAGGCUGAUAUGCAAUGUCACUUACAACAUUAAUCAGAUACUGCAUUUAAGUGCUGGUAUCAGUGGUUUGAUUUUCAGCAAAUGUGACAGUGGCCUUUGCAGUGGUCAGCUCCGGGCUUUGAACUCUCAGAGGAGGAAGGGAAAAAAAUUCAACACACCACCUCCUUGGUUGCAGCCUCAGAGAAACCUUGGAUGAGAAACUUCUUUUUUUCAAUCCUGUUUUCCUGUUGAUAAAUUCAGUUCUCGUGAUCACAGUACAUUCAAGCUGUUCUGCGUAUGAUUUUUUGUGUGUGUGACAAUUGCAUCUAAAACUUGUGAGCAAGAAGACGGAGAAAUCAGUUGGUCUCCAUCGCUUUACAUAAAAAUGGCUGAGUGUCUUGUCAUGGCUAGCACUGCAUUAAGUGAUACAUACAGGUAGGUCGAAAUUUGCAUGUUUUAUAGAUUUUUUUUGAGCCAUGAAGCAAGAAUUUUAGAUGGAUUAAAAUAUUACUUUUGGAACAAACAUUAAAUAAGACAGUUGUAAUUUUUUGGAGGGAGGGUAUUAAAUUGGAUAGGCUUUCUUAUUCAGAUACUAUAUCAAUAUAUAGCUUUGAUUAAGCUCACAAAAUGAUUCUGCUCUAAA
rnacentral:lncRNA from 1 species